GUAUAUUUGCAUCCGCAUUCCUUUACAUUAUUUAAUUUUUUUUCCUUAUUAUCGUUAUCCUCGAGUAGCAAUGUGCAUUUUUCAAAAUCCAUAUAUCUUUUUCCUUUUGGGUUCUACUCUAAUUUUGUGUAUCUAGUUUUUCAGCUUAGAUCCUACUUCAUAUCAUCAUUUCUCUGUGAGGUUUUUACAUAUGUUUAUUUCAUGCCCAUAUGUAUGUAUUUCUGUUUGAAUGUUCCGAAUUUUCGGUUUUUCAUUAUUUUCUGUGUAGUUUUCUUUUCUUCUUCUUUCUUUGAAUAUUUUCAUUUUCGACAUUGAAUUUUAAGGCACUUUUCAACUAGGAUCAAUAAAAAACGUGUUUUAUUUCAUUUUGUUGAUUAAUCGUUUUUUUCUCUUUUUGGUUUGUUUGUGUUAUUUAGUUUUACUUAUUCUCUGGAAAAACAAAAAUGUAAGGACAGAAAAAUAGAAUUCAAAUGAAUGGCCAAUCAAACUAAAUUGGAGAACAAAAAAUAACACCAAGGAUCACUGAAGACUGAGAAUGCAUGAGGUUGAUAUGUAUGCAAAGUGUGUGGAGGAGUUUUCGGAUGAGAAUUACAAGGUUUAUUUUUUGAGAAUUACGAAACAGUGAUGCAAGUGCAGUAGACAUGGUGACAGAGUGCGCAUCGAAGAGGAGACAUUGAUCCUUAAUCAAUUAAUGAAUUUCUGAAAGCAUCACAAUUUGACAUCUUAAUUUAAAUCCACCAAAAAUACUGUGAGAUUGACAGUGAAAAUAUUUUAAAACCUACACAAGCUUCGAGCAUACAACUUAAAACUCAAAGAGUUUUAUAAGAAAAC